GGGCCCGCACAAGCGGCGGAGCAUGCGGAUUAAUUCGAUGCAACGCGAAGAACCUUACCUGGGUUUGACAUCGCCGGAAAUCUCGCAGAGAUGCGGGGUCCUUCGGGGCCGGUGACAGGUGGUGCAUGGCUGUCGUCAGCUCGUGUCGUGAGAUGUUGGGUUAAGUCCCGCAACGAGCGCAACCCUCGUUCGAUGUUGCCAGCGCGUUAUGGCGGGGACUCAUCGAAGACUGCCGGGGUCAACUCGGAGGAAGGUGGGGAUGACGUCAAGUCAUCAUGCCCCUUAUGUCCAGGGCUUCACGCAUGCUACAAUGGCCGGUACAAAGGGCUGCGAUACCGUGAGGUGGAGCGAAUCCCAAAAAGCCGGUCUCAGUUCGGAUCGGGGUCUGCAACUCGACCCCGUGAAGUCGGAGUCGCUAGUAAUCGCAGA
rnacentral:rRNA from 1 species